AUUGAACGCUGGCGGCAUGCUUUACACAUGCAAGUCGAACGGCAGCGCGGGCUUCGGCCUGGCGGCGAGUGGCGAACGGGUGAGUAAUACAUCGGAACGUGCCCAGUCGUGGGGGAUAGCUCGGCGAAAGCCGGAUUAAUACCGCAUACGACCUGAGGGUGAAAGCGGGGGAUCUUCGGACCUAGCGCUAUUGGAGCGGCCGAUGGCAGAUUAGCUAGUUGGUGGGGUAAAGGCCUACCAAGGCGACGAUCUGUAGCUGGUCUGAGAGGACGACCAGCCACACUGGGACUGAGACACGGCCCAGACUCCUACGGGAGGCAGCAGUGGGGAAUUUUGGACAAUGGGCGAAAGCCUGAUCCAGCAAUGCCGCGUGUGUGAUGAAGGCCUUCGGGUUGUAAAGCACUUUUGGCGGGAACGAAAAGGACUGUGCCAAUACCACGGUUCGAUGACGGUACCCGCAGAAUAAGCACCGGCUAACUACGUG
rnacentral:rRNA from 1 species